GCUAGUUGGUAAGGUAACGGCUUACCAAGGCUACGAUGGGUAGGGGUCCUGAGAGGGAGAUCCCCCACACUGGUACUGAGACACGGACCAGACUCCUACGGGAGGCAGCAGUGAGGAAUAUUGGACAAUGGGCGCAAGCCUGAUCCAGCCAUGCCGCGUGCAGGAUGACGGUCCUAUGGAUUGUAAACUGCUUUUAUACGAGAAGAAACACUGCUUCGUGAAGCAGCUUGACGGUAUCGUAAGAAUAAGGAUCGGCUAACUCCGUGCCAGCAGCCGCGGUAAUACGGAGGAUCCAAGCGUUAUCCGGAAUCAUUGGGUUUAAAGGGUCCGUAGGCGGUUUAAUAAGUCAGUGGUGAAAGCCCAUCGCUCAACGGUGGAACGGCCAUUGAUACUGUUAGACUUGAAUUAUUAGGAAGUAACUAGAAUAUGUAGUGUAGCGGUGAAAUGCUUAGAGAUUACAUGGAAUACCAAUUGCGAAGGCAGGUUACUACUAAUUGAUUGACGCUGAUGGACGAAAGCGUGGGUAGCGAACAGGAUUAGAUACCCUGGUAGUCCACGCCGUAAACGAUGGAUACUAGCUGUUGGGAGCAAUCUCAGUGGCUAAGCGAAAGUGAUAAGUAUCCCACCUGGGGAGUACGUUCGCAAGAAUGAAACUCAAAGGAAUUGACGGGGGCCCGCACAAGCGGUGGAGCAUGUGGUUUAAUUCGAUGAUACGCGAGGAACCUUACCAAGGCUUAAAUGUAGUUUGACCGGUUUGGAAACAGAUCUUUCGCAAGACAAAUUACAAGGUGCUGCAUGGUUGUCGUCAGCUCGUGCCGUGAGGUGUCAGGUUAAGUCCUAUAACGAGCGCAACCCCUGUUGUUAGUUGCCAGCGAGUCAAGUCGGGAACUCUAACAAGACUGCCAGUGCAAACUGUGAGGAAGGUGGGGAUGACGUCAAAUCAUCACGGCCCUUACGCCUUGGGCUACACACGUGCUACAAUGGCCGGUACAGAGAGCAGCCACUGGGCGACCAGGAGCGAAUC
rnacentral:rRNA from 1 species